rnacentral:rRNA from 1 species
GACGAACGCUGGCGGCGUGCCUAAUACAUGCAAGUCGAACGCAGUGGGGACGGGUGAGUAACACGUGGGUAACCUCCAAUCAGAGGGGAUAACACGUGGAAACAGGUGCUAAACCGAUACUGUUGGAUGAACCCGCGCGGCAUUAGCUAGUUGGUGAGGUAACGGCGCACCAAGGCCACGAUGCAUAGCCGGCCUGAGAGAGUGGUCGGCCACACUGGGACGGAGACACGGCCUAGAGGCCAACGGGGGGCGGCAGUAGGGAAUCUUCGGCAAUGGACAAAAGUCGGACCGACCAACGCCGCGUGAGUGAAGAAGGUUUUCGGAUCGUAAAACUCUGUUGUUGGAGAAGCGGGAUGUAAAGAGAAAGCCACGGCUAACUACGUGCCAGCAGCCGCGGUAAUAG